rnacentral:tRNA from 1 species
UGCGCUCGUAGCUCAGUUGGACAGAGCAACGGAUUUCUAAUCCGUAGGUCGCAGGUUCGAGUCCUGCCGGGCGUGU